AAACUUAAAGGAAUUGACGGAACGGCACCACCAGGCCUGGAGCUUGCGGCUCAAUUUGACUCAACACGGGAAAUCUCACCAGACCCGAACAUCUCUAACGAUUGACAGAUUGAAAGCUCUUUCUUAAUGAAGUGGAUGGUGGUGCAUGGCCGUUCUUAGUUGGUGGAGUGAUCUGUCUGGUUAAUUCCGAUAACGAACGAGACCCCGCGGUAUGACCCUGUAGGGGUUUACCUGCAUGAAAAGGGGCGAUAACAGGUCUGUGAUGCCCUUAG
rnacentral:rRNA from 1 species